rnacentral:rRNA from 1 species
GACGAACGCUGGCGGCGUGCCUAAUACAUGCAAGUAGAACGCUGAAGGAGGAGCUUGCUUCUCCGGAUGAGUUGCGAACGGGUGAGUAACGCGUAGGUAACCUGCCUGGUAGCGGGGGAUAACUAUUGGAAACGAUAGCUAAUACCGCAUAAGAGUAGAUGUUGCAUGACAUUUGCUUAAAAGGUGCAAAUGCAUCACUACCAGAUGGACCUGCGUUGUAUUAGCUAGUUGGUGGGGUAACGGCUCACCAAGGCGACGAUACAUAGCCGACCUGAGAGGGUGAUCGGCCACACUGGGACUGAGACACGGCCCAGACUCCUACGGGAGGCAGCAGUAGGGAAUCUUCGGCAAUGGACGGAAGUCUGACCGAGCAACGCCGCGUGAGUGAAGAAGGUUUUCGGAUCGUAAAGCUCUGUUGUAAGAGAAGGACGAGUGUGAGAGUGGAAAGUUCACACUGUGACGGUAUCUUACCAGAAAGGGACGGCUAACUACGUGCCAGCAGCCGCGGUAAUACGUAGGUCCCGAGCGUUGUCCGGAUUUAUUGGGCGUAAAGCGAGCGCAGGCGGUUAGAUAAGUCUGAAGUUAAAGGCUGUGGCUUAACCAUAGUACGCUUUGGAAACUGUUUAACUUGAGUGCAAGAGGGGAGAGUGGAAUUCCAUGUGUAGCGGUGAAAUGCGUAGAUAUAUGGAGGAACACCGGUGGCGAAAGCGGUUCUCUGGCUUGUAACUGACGCUGAGGCUCGAAAGCGUGGGGAGCAAACAGG